CAGGCAUGUGCGUCUGAGCACUGUAUGCAUGCAGUGCCAAUGGAGGCCAGAAGAGGGUGCUGGACCCCCUGCAAUGAGAGUUACAAAUGGCUAUGAGGAACCCUUGGGAUGCUGGGACUUGAACUCUAGUCCUCUGGUGGAGCAGCCAGUGCUCUUAACCACCGAGCCACAUCUCCAGUGACACAGUUAUUGGUUUAACGAUCUGCUGAUAAGGCUCAAAAAGACCCAGAAAGGACAAGGAAGUGCACCCAGCCUGCAUCUGUGUUGCUGUUUGGGAGACCAGGAAGGGACAGAGAGUGACAAAUAUCCCUUGGUGUGACCGCCACAGUACCAGUUGAGGAUGACAUGAGCUGAGACAGAAGGGCCUGUGAACCUCUGUGGCAGCCCACUCAAAACUCUUAGAAAUGAAGCUGUCAAAAUAAACAGUCCUGAUUUAAAACACCA